UGUGUAUGGAACGUGAACCAGUGAAAUGGAAAAUAUUAAUAUCAAGGUAAAUAAAGCAGGUAUGUCCCUGAUGUCAUUAUACUCCUCCCCUGCAAUGCAAACUUAUUACCAUAUACCACACCCUCCACUGCAAAUGUCAAAGAUUUUCAUUUGGUUCUCGGCAAUAACACACUGUGGCAGCAGAGUUCAAUGUGUGAGCUGGAGUUCAACUCCAGAACCCAAUUCAGACUACUCUCCUUCCACA
ensembl:ribozyme RNaseP_nuc Nuclear RNase P